rnacentral:rRNA from 1 species
UACGGAGGGUGCGAGCGUUAAUCGGAAUUACUGGGCGUAAAGGGCGCGUAGGCGGCUGAUCAAGUCAGGUGUGAAAGCCCGGGGCUUAACCCCGGAGUGCAUUGGAAACUACCUGGCUUGAGUUCGGGAUAGGAGGGCAGAAUUCCCGGUGUAGGAGUGAAAUCCGUAGAUAUCGGGAGGAAAACCAGUGGCGAAAGCGGCCCUCUGGAACGAAACUGACGCUGAGGCGCGAAAGCGUGGGGAGCAAACAGGAUUAGAAACCCCGGUAGU